UCCCGAAUGGCGGGGCUCAC
rnacentral:misc_RNA from 1 species